rnacentral:tRNA from 1 species
CCUGAUGGCUUAGGUGGUAAAGAAUCUGCCUCCAAUGCAGGAGACCUGGGUUUGAUCCCUGGGUCAGGA